UUGGUGUGUGUGUGUGUGUGUGUGUUUUGCUGGGGAUUAAACCCAUGGCCUUGUGCAUGUGAGGCAAGCACUCUACCAACUGAGCUAUAUCCCAUCUUUGAUCUGAACACUAAUCUUAAUUGUAGCCCUAAUGAAUGAUGAUGGAGCUCUAACCUUGAAACAAUUUAGCUCAAUAUCUAUGACAUUGUUUCUGUUCCUACUCCAUCGUAACUGAUACCAAGGAUUCUUGGGGCUAGUUUUACCUUUUUGUACACCUAGACUGUUGACCCAAGCUUCUGGUUCUUGUUACCUGUUCUCUCAGGGCAUGAGUGUCUGUUACCCAAACAGACCACCCUAUUUGUCAUUCCAGAUUUGGAAAUCUAUUCUGGCCUGAAUUGUGUUCCUAAUUCUUCCUUUUUGGCUUAUGUACUGACCUAUACCCCAUAUUCUCUGAUCUUAUUUCUACAUUUUCCUGCCUAACCUGAUCCUAGAACAGUGACUUUAACCCUAGCCACAAAUCUAUAGUAGCUACUGCUAAGUAACCACCCCAAAACUUAAUGGUUUGAAAAAUUGAUUAUUUCUUUUGCUUAUGAAUUUGUAAUUUGGGCGGGGCUUCAUGAGGACAGCUUAUCUCUGUUUUACAAGGUGUCAGCUGGAACAGCCCAACUGAAGCUAGAGGUUUUACUUCCAACAUGGAUCACUUAAACUGGCAAACUAGGACUGUCAGUUCCUUUCUAUUAAGUAGCUUGGGCUUCCUUAUAGUAUAUAACUUGGUUCCAAAAAUAAGCAUCCUAAGUAUAGAAAUUGCCAGUUUCUUAAGUCCUGGGACCCAUAAGUGACAGUAUCACUUCUACCAUCUUCUAUGUUAAGUCAUAAAUCCCCGAUUUAGGGGAACAAGCAUAAACUCACUGGAGGGGUGCUGUGUUGAAUCAACUUUCUAUUUCUGACAAAAUACUUGAGAUAGUCAACUUAAAAACAGGAAAGGUUUAUAUUGGCUCACAGUUUCAAAGAUCUCAGUCCAUUGUCACUUGGCUCAGUUGCUUUUGGGCCUGUGGCAAAGCAGUACAUCAUGGCAGGAAGCACAUAGCAAAGGAAGAUGCCCACAUAGUGAUAGCCAGGAAGCUUUUUAAGGAAAGGGCUGGGAUCCUGGGAUCCUAAUGUUCCUUUUCAGGGUUGCCUCCAAAAACCUAACUUCCUUUCACAAGGUCCCUCCUCCUAAAGAUUUUAUCACCCUCCAAUAAUGCCACUGUCUGGGGACCAAGCCUUAAACACGUGGGAAACUGGGGGAGAUUCCUGAUUCAAAUUAUAACAGGCAUCAAUAAAAUUUUGAAGCCUAUCAUAGUAGCAUACACCUGCAAUCCCAGUUGCUCUGUAGGCUGAGGCAGGAGGAUUACAAGCUCAAGGCCAACUCAGCAACUUAUCAAGACCUGUCUCAAAAUUUUAAAAGUUACAAGGGCUGGGAUAUAGCUCAGUAGCAAAGCACUGCAGGAUUCCAAACCCAGUACCACAAAAAGAAAAAAAAAAUACUUUUUGAAGCCUUUUUAUUUUGCUGGAGAGUAGAUUGGUUUAUUUUUGUUGUUGUUGUUGUUGUUGUUGUUUGUGGUACUUUCUAGGGAUUAAGCCCAGGGGUGCUCUACUUCUGAUCUACAUCUCCAGCCCUUUUCACUUCAUUUAUUUUUUAAUUUCAUUUAUUAUUUUUAAUUUUCUGAUACAGGUUCUCACUAAGUUGCUGAGGCUGUCAUUGAACUUGCAAUCCUCUUCCCUCAGCUUCCGGAGUAGCUGGGAUUACAAACAUGUGCCUCCACCUGUGACUGGAAACCAUGUGUAUAACUGAAUAUAUUCCAGCGCAUUUGGGUGACUUUUUUUAAAGUAUAUUUUUCUUUUGUCUUAAGGACUUCUCUCACUUCAGACUUGCUUACAUGAGAAGUUCUGAGUUGCUUCAUGUACUCCAGGUGUAUCCAUUGGCUAGGCACUCCAGUGAUUUAACUAGGAACAAGAACUUGCCUCCCAGAUUUUUAAUUUGAGCAAAGCAACUACCUCAGCUUUGGACUGCUAAAGUAAUUUUCAAUUCAAUGUGAAUAUCUCUAAGCUUAAUACAAGACCCUCUCAACCUUAAAGUACCUGGGACAGGAUUCCUGCCCACUUUGCCUGCAUAAGUUUGUAUAUCUAGUCACUUUAUCUGUAAUUUGUAUAAAUGAGCAUGUAUAUAUAAUAUAUCAAAAUACAUUCUACUGUAAUGUAUAAUUAAAAAGAAUAAAUG
rnacentral:lncRNA from 1 species